rnacentral:rRNA from 1 species
UACGUAGGGACCGAGCGUUGUCCGGAAUCAUUGGGCGUAAAGAGCGUGUAGGCGGCCUUUUAAGUCCUGCGUGAAAUCCUGCGGCUCAACCGCAGACGGUCGUGGGAAACUGGAAGGCUAGAGUGCGGGAGAGGAGAGUGGAAUUCCUGGUGUAGCGGUGAAAUGCGCAGAUAUCAGGAGGAACACCAAUGGCGAAGGCAGCACUCUGGGACGUGACUGACGCUGAGACGCGAAAGCGUGGGGAGCAAACAGG